rnacentral:sRNA from 1 species
GGAUGUGAGGGCGAUCUGGCUGGCUAGGCGGGUGUCCCCUUCCUCCCUCAACGCUCCAUGUGCAUCCCUCCUGAAGCUACCCUCUGUCGAAAAGGACAACCUUCCCCGAUAGAAGAGGACCCCUCUUAGAACCUCCAAACAAGCUCUCAAGGGUGAUCUUUUUAUCCACAUCUUCAUCAAGAUUUGUCUUUUAUCU